rnacentral:rRNA from 1 species
AUUGAACGCUGGCGGCAGGCUUAACACAUGCAAGUCGAGCGGAGAUGAGGUGCUUGCACCUUAUCUUAGCGGCGGACGGGUGAGUAAUGCUUAGGAAUCUGCCUAUUAGUGGGGGACAACAUUCCGAAAGGAAUGCUAAUACCGCAUACGCCCUACGGGGGAAAGCAGGGGAUCUUCGGACCUUGCGCUAAUAGAUGAGCCUAAGUCGGAUUAGCUAGCUGGUGGGGUAAAGGCCUACCAAGGCGACGAUCUGUAGCGGGUGUGAGAGGAUGAUCCGCCACACUGGGACUGAGACACGGCCCAGGCUCCUGCGGGAGGCAGCAGUGGGGAAUAUUGGACAAUGGGCGGAAGCCUGAUCCAGCCAUGCCGCGUGUGUGAAGAAGGCCUUUUGGUUGUAAAGCACUUUAAGCGAGGAGGAGGCUACCUGGAUUAAUACUCUAGGAUAGUGGACGUUACUCGCAGAAUAAGCACCGGCUAACUCUGUGCCAGCCGCCGCGGUAACAC